CAGGAUUGUUCUAUACUUCAGAAAAUGUCACAAUGUGGGGUUUCAUGUGGCACGCAGGUCCGAAGAGGUGGACAGAACUCAAGUGCACAAGACCAGAGGCUGCCUCACUGGCCCAGUGCUGGAGAGUGGGUCUCUGGGGACACGACGUGAUGACAGCCAGGUCAAGACAACCAGGCUGCCUGCAGCUUUGAUACACGACACAGAGGGACUGGGGAAACGAUUUAUGGAUCUCAGCACUGUCCCCUCCUGUCCCUGCUCUAAUGGAGACACCAGGAGGCCCCUUUCCUUCUUUCUGUCCAGGUCAAGCUGACCAGGCACUUGGCAUUGCUAGUCCUGAGCACCAACUUGCGGCUCUCCACAGCCUGGUCCUAACCUCCGUCCGGGUCUACUGGAAAUGAAAGCAAAUGACCAGGGCUGCCCUGCCCGGGGAUGCACAGUACGGAAGCCCCCUCCUGGCGCGCUCCAUGGCCUCUCCCCUGUGCGUGCUGCUUACCGUGCGAAGUAGCCCAAGACGUGGGCCCGGAUCACCAUGGCUGCCCGGGUAACUUCUUCCUCCCGCCGCUUCUCCAGUUUCUGCUCCAGCGAUUCUCGAAGGAAGACCUGCCCCGGGGAAAGGGACACAUCAGGAGCAAAGAACACAGCUGACAUGAAGAACACAAUUCUGAAGACUGUUUGAGAUUCAAAUGGAACCGUCCCCGCUCCAUCUUGGCUUGGCCAUCACCAGAAUACCAGGAUUGGGACUAAACAGAGCGUCGCUGUUGGCUAGCCCGGAUCUGCGAAGAGGCACCUGAAUCUCAUGCUCAGGACAUACGGGAAGCGUAUCUGAUUCCUGGCACUGUACCAGAAUUCCCGCUAGUUGGAAAGAUGUGAAAAUAUCAAGACCCUUCCUCAAUCAAGCGUGGAAGCAUUCUGGUGGCGGUGGGCAAGGGGCUAAAUGACACUCUCUCACUCAUGAUGUUUUGAUUUAUGCUCUGUCACGCCAGAAGAUUCCGAGGACCUUCAGCUGGUUCUAUUUUUGCCAGGCCAUGGAGCCUAGCACCUCCAGCACCCAUGGGAACAACGAGAUGGGCACCGCUGGGGGAGUGUGUACUGAAGCUAGAUGGAACUGGCCGAAAAAAGGGCCACUCAAAACCUGAGAUGUAUCCGGAGGGGACAGACAGGUACUCAGAAACCAGCUGUUCAAAGAACCGAAUGAAGAUAUUCUGUGAAGACGCAAUGGCUGCCCCGUGGCAGCCAUUCUGCAGCCUUGAGGGAGGACCAAGAGAACGGCAGACACAUUGACGUGAAGCCCCAACACUGUGGAGCCUCUAAACAAAUGCUUAUUAAUUGUGACACUUA